AUUCAGCGGCGGACGGGUGAGUAAUGCCUAGGAAUCUGCCUGGUAGUGGGGGACAACGUUUCGAAAGGAACGCUAAUACCGCAUACGUCCUACGGGAGAAAGCAGGGGACCUUCGGGCCUUGCGCUAUCAGAUGAGCCUAGGUCGGAUUAGCUAGUUGGUGAGGUAAUGGCUCACCAAGGCGACGAUCCGUAACUGGUCUGAGAGGAUGAUCAGUCACACUGGAACUGAGACACGGUCCAGACUCCUACGGGAGGCAGCAGUGGGGAAUAUUGGACAAUGGGCGAAAGCCUGAUCCAGCCAUGCCGCGUGUGUGAAGAAGGUCUUCGGAUUGUAAAGCACUUUAAGUUGGGAGGAAGGGCAGUAAGUUAAUACCUUGCUGUUUUGACGUUACCGACAGAAUAAGCACCGGCUAACUCUGUGCCAGCAGCCGCGGUAAUACAGAGGGUGCAAGCGUUAAUCGGAAUUACUGGGCGUAAAGCGCGCGUAGGUGGUUCGUUAAGUUGGAUGUGAAAGCCCCGGGCUCAACCUGGGAACUGCAUCCAAAACUGGCGAGCUAGAGUAUGGUAGAGGGUGGUGGAAUUUCCUGUGUAGCGGUGAAAUGCGUAGAUAUAGGAAGGAACACCAGUGGCGAAGGCGACC
rnacentral:rRNA from 1 species